AAACAUAAUUCAUCUAUUAAAAGAUGAAUUCACCAUGGAAAAUUUUUGCCUCAAAGGUAUACAUUUGGAGAAAUAACACACUAAGCAUAAGCAGUUUCCUUAAAGCUUACAGAAUAGUCAAAUGCCCAAAGAAGAAUGCACUAUGAGUAGAAAGUGAAUGAAAAAUUGACUUUGUCGAUCCUGAGGAACACACACAAUGUCUCUAAGACACUCCAAAACACUGUUGUGAGCAGAUGUCUGAGGACGCCUUCCGGCUGUUCCCGAACUGCCUGGGGCGGAUCUCAGCCCCGGCUCUCCAACACCGCCUGUGAAAUCCGGCCGAGUAACUCGCGUUUAUGCUUAGGACUACCAAACCUGUUUGUCACACCUCUUCCACUGGGCUCGGCGCGACCGAUUCUAUCAUUAUUUGAGCUAAAGAACGCCGCUGACCCCCUGACCGAGCAGCACCCGGGCUGCUCCGGCCGCUUCCCGCGCCUUUGUCACCUCAGAACCCUCCUGCCGUCACCGCUCCCCUGCCCGCCCUUCCUCCUCUCCUAACAGUCCCGCUUAGGCAAACAAGGCCUGUUACAAGCAGCCGGGGAAGAGGAAAACUCUAGCGAUGCUGAAAGGAGUAAUUAAAGUGUAUCUAAAACUCCUAAAGCGCCCUGCGAGCCCCAAACACGCUACCGGGGGUGCCGCCUCGCCUCCUCCCUCAGACCGGGCUGAGCGCAACUCGCCCACGCAGGAGAAAAGACAUAGGUGCCCUCAGGAUUUUACCUCAGGUUCACCUGUUUUAACUCACAGACCUGCUUCUCAUGCUUUAAAACGACUGCUCAUAGCUUUCCUUUUCGAGUCUUAACAUUAUUUGAUAGCGAAUAUUUAGUAAUGUGUAAGUGGGUCCCCCCUCUCGAGGUAAUGGAACAGUCCACCGAGUUCCAGGCGCCGAGGCUCCGCGUUUAACCCCUUUCCUGCCGAUCCCAAAGAAUCUGCCUGGCGGAGGCGGAGUGGGAUCCAGCCUCGCUGGAACACCGCGAGCAGGUCAGGGUAGUGAACACACUUCAUACAGGCAGUGUGGAGCGGGGGCAGCGACCACCCGCCCGCAAAACGGCCUUAAAUGCCGUCUGAUAAAGUCUUCCAACACGUCUUCUUCGUAGUGUUGUGGAAACGUGUGACAAUGUUUAAAUAGUGAUUGGGUAAACUAAGGGGGGCGGGGGGUGUUGUCUUUUUUGUUUGUUUGUUUUCUUGCUGGUUUGUUUGUUUUUAUGAUCCCCAGUGGAGAAUUUCGUACACCCUGUAUGGAUGGCGCCUACCUGUCCCCUAGGUGAGAAUUUCCCCAUUCCUGCAGACGGAGCAUCGUCCCCGCUCAGCCGGAGUGGCUGCUUUCCUCAGGCCUUCACUGGUAGCAAGGAACAUGUGGAAAGACUUCUGGCAGAAAAACCUCUGCAGGUUGCAUGAGUACAGGAGAGCUUUUUCUAGAAACCUCCCAAGUGAUAUGAAUGGAUCUACAAAUUUGAGUUCCUUGUCCGCUUAAGGCCAAGCGAGGUGAGUUACUUGUACUGCUAUUUCACAAAUCAUGUAUAUUGAUAUCAUAUUUUCCUUUAGCACACUAGACAUUAGAAUAUUUAAAUUUAUUGCCGCUGCAUAACUUCUCGUCUGAAAAGUGUUUUGGACUUUCAGUUUAUGUUUCAACAUCAGGCCUGGCUAUCUAAUCUAGAAUGCACACAUGGUGUACAACUGCAAACACAGUCUUCAAAAGUGAAAGUAUAAGGAAAACUCAUUUUGCAAAAUA